rnacentral:pre_miRNA from 1 species
CCACGGUGAAAAGGGUGUUAUAUGAAGACUUAGGGCUUCGUGUACAUCGAAGAAAAACAGGACAUCGUUUGAAUAUUCGUCUAAUGGA